rnacentral:rRNA from 1 species
AACGAACGCUGGCGGCAGGCCUAACACAUGCAAGUCGAGCGCUCUCUUCGGAGGGAGCGGCGGACGGGUUAGUAACGCGUGGGAACGUACCCUUCUCUACGGAAUAGCCUCGGGAAACUGAGAGUGAUACCGUAUACGCCCUUCGGGGGAAAGAUUUAUCGGAGAAGGAUCGGCCCGCGUCUGAUUAGAUAGUUGGUGGGGUAACGGCCUACCAAGUCUACGAUCAGUAGCUGGUUUGAGAGGAUGAUCAGCAACACUGGGACUGAGACACGGCCCAG